rnacentral:rRNA from 1 species
UACGAAGGGGGGCUAGCGUUGUUCGGAAUUACUGGGCGUAAAGCGCACGUAGGCGGAUAUUUAAGUCAGGGGUGAAAUCCCGGGGCUCAACCCCGGAACUGCCUUUGAUACUGGGUAUCUCGAGUCCGGGAGAGGUGAGUGGAACUGCGAGUGUAGAGGUGAAAUUCGUAGAUAUUCGCAAGAACACCAGUGGCGGAGGCGGCUCACUGGCCCGGUACUGACGCUGAGGUGCGAAAGCGUGGGGAGCAAACAGG